AGAGUACGUGAAACCGUCCAGGGGUAAACCUGAGAAACCCGAAAGGUCGAAAGGGGAGAUUCAGCGUGUCUCGAUUUCGGCGUUGAACGGUCGUGCGACGGAAGACGUACGCGUCAUCCGCACCUUCCGUGCUCCGAACCGUUGUCGAACGCGUGCACUUCUCCCCCUGUAGGACGUCGCGAUCCGUCGAGUGCCGGUCUAAGGCCCGCAACGGAGCCCGUUCGGACGGUCCGCCGUUCCGGACGAACUUGCGGUGUUUCCCGGUCGGCUCGCUCGACGGUAUACAGAUGGCGCGGGGCCGCUACACAGUUAGCGUCCGACCGGCGGCAAGCGCGCUCGUCGCGACGGUGAUCGGACCCGGUGCCGGUCCCGUCCCCGAGUGGCUGUUCGCCGUCGUGUUCUCGGACAGAGCUCGUCGAAACGCCGAUCUGCGACGCUAUAGCUUUGGGUACUUUCAGGACCCGUCUUG
rnacentral:rRNA from 1 species